rnacentral:rRNA from 1 species
UACGUAGGGUGCGAGCGUUAAUCGGAAUUACUGGGCGUAAAGCGUGCGCAGGCGGCUUCGCAAGUCAGACGUGAAAUCCCCGGGCUUAACCUGGGAAUGGCGUUUGAAACUACGGAGCUGGAGUGUGGCAGAGGGAGGUAGAAUUCCACGUGUAGCGGUGAAAUGCGUAGAUAUGUGGAGGAAUACCGAUGGCGAAGGCAGCCUCCUGGGCCAACACUGACGCUCAUGCACGAAAGCGUGGGGAGCAAACAGGAUUAGAAACCCCGGUAGU